AGGACGAACGCUGGCGGCGUGCUUAACACAUGCAAGUCGAGCGGAAAGGCCCCUCGGGGUACUCGAGCGGCGAACGGGUGAGUAACACGUGAGUAACCUGCCCCUAGCUCUGGGAUAGCUCCGGGAAACCGGGAUUAAUACCGGAUGUGACCUGUCCGCGGCAUCGCGGCGGGUGGAAAGUUUUCGGCCAGGGAUGGGCUCGCGGCCUAUCAGCUUGUUGGCAGGGUAAUGGCCUACCAAGGCGACGACGGGUA
rnacentral:rRNA from 1 species